UACAGAAGUGGCAAGCGUUGUUCGGAAUUACUGGGCGUAAAGGGCUCGUAGGUUGCCAACUAAGUCAGACGUGAAAUCCCUCGGCUUAACCGGGGAACUGCGUCUGAUACUGGAUGGCUUGAGUUCGGGAGAGGGAUGCGGAAUUCCAGGUGUAGCGGUGAAAUGCGUAGAUAUCUGGAGGAACACCGGUGGCGAAGGCGGCAUCCUGGACCGACACUGACACUGAGGAGCGAAAGCCAGGGGAGCAAACGGG
rnacentral:rRNA from 1 species